rnacentral:tRNA from 1 species
GGUAGGAUGGCCGAGAGCUAGGCGUUGGAUUGUAGCCCCAUGUACAGAGGUUAAAACCCUUUUCCUAUCA